GACGAACGCUGGCGGCGUGCCUAAUACAUGCAAGUCGAGCGAAGCGGCGGAUGGGUGAGUAACGCGUGGGUAACCUGCCCUUAAGUCUGGGAUACCAUUUGGAAACAGAUGCUAAUACCGGAUACUAAAGGAUGGACCUGCGAUGCAUUAGCUAGUUGGUAAGGUAACGGCUUACCAAGGCGAUGAUGCAGAGCCGGGUGGAGCGACUGAUGGGCCAAAUUGGAACUGAGACACGGUCCAGAAUCCGAGGGGAGGCAGAAGUGGGGAAUAUGGCACAAUGGGCGCAAGCCUGAUGCAGCCAUGCCGGGUGGAUGAAGAAGGCCGUCGGGUUGUAAAGUACUUUCAGCGAGGAGGCGUUACUCGCAGAAGAAGCACCGGCUAACUCCGUGCCAGCAGCCGCGGUAAUAC
rnacentral:rRNA from 1 species